rnacentral:rRNA from 1 species
UCCGUAGGUGAACCUGCGGAAGGAUCAUUACCGGGUAUUGUAGGUUGGUUCGCCAGCAUACUACCUUCACCCUUUACAAAUCCGUCCACCUUCGUUGGCGUAUGAGCGUGAGUAUAUCUCCGCUUGCCAGCAAUACUUAAACCCUGCCAAACCUUUGCAGUCUGAGUAAAAUGUUAAUAGAAAAAAAACUUUCAACAACGGAUCUCUUGGUUCUGGCAACGAUGAAGAACGCAGCGAAAUGCGAUAAGUAAUGUGAAUUGCAGAAUUCAGUGAAUCAUCGAAUCUUUGAACGCACAUUGCGCCUCUUGGUAUUCCGAGAGGCACACCUGUUCGAGCGCCAUUUCUACCUCAAGCCUAGCUUGGUGAUGGGCACCGCCGCGAUGGCGAGCCCGAAACGCGUGUGAGCGCCGUGGUCCCGGUUCCGAGCGUAGCAAGAGUAGUCCUCCCUCGCUCGGAGCCCGCCAGGGUCGCCGUCAAACCGUAAACUUUUUCACAGGUUGGCCUCGGAUCAGGUGGGGAUACCCGCUGAACUUAAGCAUAUCAAUAAGCGGAGGA